rnacentral:miRNA from 1 species
AACACAGAGGAAAUUCCAUGU